GAAUAUCAUGUGUAGAAAGCAUCGGCCACCUACAUGGUCUACGUUUGAAAUUGUGCUCUUCUAGUGGUACUUUUGUUUAAUUCCAAGUGUCCUCAGGGAGAAAGGACCGUGGAAAGGAAAAGACUACGUGAAAAAGAAGCUGGCUACUUCUUCCCAAGAGCUAAGAAUAUUCUCUUGGCCUAUGGGAUAACAGAGACAUGUUCUUUGCUAACAUACAUGACUCUGUAUGACCCACAUUUCCAUUUUUCCUACCAGCCCCUUCAUUUUCAUGUUGGAACAUAUCUCAAUACAGUUCGAAGACCAAGAGGCAUAUGUGUCGGCAAACUGGGACCACAUGUUGAAUUGAGGACAGACGGUGAUGAUUUUAUUAGCAUUGGGACAGUUCUAACCAGAGGUCUGGAUUUGAUGAUUGGAUACUGAGAUCAAUUUUUGGCAUCGGACUCUAGCAGUCAUUCAUGGAUUGACACGGGUGAUGUCAGUUUCAUUGAUAAGCAUGGUCAGUUGUGGCUCAUUGGCCAAGAGAGUAGGAUCAAGACUAGAGGAGCAAAUGUUUACCCUGAAGAGGUACUGGACUGCAUCAUGCAUGAAUUGGCUUAGCAAUAAAAUCAUUUUUAUCUCUGGGCAGCUUUAGAUUUGUUGAUAGGUCCAAAUGUGAUGCAUAUUUUUCUGUCUUCAAUACCUGUUUCAAUUUCUCAAAAUGAUGGUCAGCUAAAAUAAUAAGAUGUACCCUCAGCUUUUUUUCGUGGGAA